rnacentral:rRNA from 1 species
GACUUCUGGUUUAAUGCACCUGGCCCGCGCGCGUUUACCAUCCUUCCAGCAACGGCUACCCUUAACUGGGCGGCUGGAACUGGAUCUUUUACUUUGAAAAAAUUAGAGUGUUUAAAGCAGGCGUUUGCUCUGAAUACAUUAGCAUGGAAUAAUAAUCUAGGACUUCGGUUCUAUUUUGUUGGUUUCUAUAACUGAAGUAAUGAUUGAUAGGGAUAGUUGGGGGUGCUAGUAUUGGCCGGUCAGAGGUGAAAUUCUUGGAUUCGGUCAAGACUAACUUAUGCGAAAGCAUU